UACGUAGGGGGCUAGCGUUGUCCGGAAUCAUUGGGCGUAAAGCGCGCGUAGGCGGCCCGGUAAGUCCGCUGUGAAAGUCAAAGGCUCAACCUUUGAAUGUCAGCGGAUACUGCCGGGCUAGAGUCCGGAAGAGGCGAGUGGAACUCCUGGUGUAGCGGUGAAAUGCGCAGAUAUCAGGAGGAACACCGGUGGCGAAGGCGGGUCUCUGGGCAGUAACUGACGCUGAGGAGCGAAAGCGUGGGGAGCGAACAGG
rnacentral:rRNA from 1 species